UACGCACAAAUGACAAAUUGCCAUGUGGAUGUGUUGCUUUUAUGCCUUUCGACCCCACCAAUGAGCCUUGGGUGGAUUUUACCAAAACGCCCCCUUACUUACUUUGCAACUUCUGAUUAACCUUCCCUCUAAUUAAUCACCUCCCCUUAAAUUAUCACCUUCCCUCUAAUUUAUUUACAAAAAAAAAUAGGAGCUUGCUUCGUGGAUCUGUUUCGACUUUGCUCAUCUCCUUCACGACACAAUCAAAAGUUCUUCAAAUUCAAACCCAGCUUCGUGGAUCUGCUUCUUCUUCAACCCCAGCAUUUUCGAGCUCGGUUCCUCGGUUACGGAUCUCUCGCUAUUACAGGUUGUGCCAGCGUAGAGCUUUAGAGAAUGAGUAGGGCAAUCGUCAAAAUACCAGGUUUGAUUUGCUUUGUGAAACUAGAGGAUCAUGGGGUGAGUAUAUCGUCUUAUUUUGGAGGGGUGAAGUAGCUGAUUGGCCAUCCGAAGAAUACAUUGCAAGUUUGAUCAAGGUGACUGUUACUUGGUAGGAGGAUGUGAUUUUAAGACAAGUAUGGUCACUUGUGGGUGUGAUUUAUAUAUCAUUUCAUCUCACUUCAACCUUAGUUUAUGCCUAAUGGCUAACUGCAGUUAGUGCUCGGUUAGUGUAUGUAAAUAAUGUAAAUUGAGGUUGUAAUGUAGUUAUGUAAUUUAGAGUAGCAUAGUUAGAUGGUACGUAUUAGUUUAGUUGGAUUAUGGUACGUAUUAGU